UGGGGAAUAUUGGACAAUGGGCGCAAGCCUGAUCCAGCCAUGCCGCGUGAGUGAUGAAGGCCUUAGGGUUGUAAAGCUCUUUCGCCGACGAAGAUAAUGACGGUAGUCGGAGAAGAAGCCCCGGCUAACUUCGUGCCAGCAGCCGCGGUAAUACGAAGGGGGCUAGCGUUGUUCGGAAUCACUGGGCGUAAAGCGCACGUAGGCGGAUUGUUAAGUCAGGGGUGAAAGCCUGGAGCUCAACUCCAGAACUGCCCUUGAUACUGGCAAUCUCGAGUCCGGAAGAGGUAAGUGGAACUGCGAGUGUAGAGGUGAAAUUCGUAGAUAUUCGCAAGAACACCAGUGGCGAAGGCGGCUUACUGGUCCGGUACUGACGCUGAGGUGCGAAAAGCGUGGGGAGCAAACAGGAUUAGAUACCCUGGUAGUCCACGCCGUAAAACGAUGGAGGCUAGCCGUUGGCGAGCAUGCUCGUCAGUGGCGCAGCUAACGCAUUAAGCCUCCCGCCUGGGGAGUACGGUCGCAAGAUU
rnacentral:rRNA from 1 species